UGGCUUUACCUGAAGACGGUGCGCUAACCGCAAGGAGGCAGCCGGCCACGGUCAGGUCAGCGACUGGGGUGAAGUCGUAACAAGGUAGCCGUAGGUGAACCUGCAGAGGGAUCA
rnacentral:rRNA from 1 species